rnacentral:rRNA from 1 species
ACGUAGGAGGCAAACGUUAUCCGGAUUUACUGGGCGUAAAGCGCGUGUAGGCGGUUCUGUAAGUAGGGCGUGAAAGCUCCUGGCUCAACUGGGAGAGGCCGUUCUAAACUGCAGAGCUAGAGUAUGGUAGAGGGAGGUGGAAUUCCGGGUGUAGCGGUAAAAUGCGCAGAUAUCAGAAGGAACACCGGUGGCGAAAGCGGCCUCCUGGACCAUUCCUGACACUGAGACGCGAAAGCGUGGGGAGCAAACGG